UAUGAAGAACGUAGCGAAAUGCGAUAAGUAAUGUGAAUUGCAGAAUUCAGUGAAUCAUCGAAUCUUUGAACGCACAUUGCGCCCCCUGGUAUUCCGGGGGGCAUGCCUGUCCGAGCGUCAUUACAACCCUCAAGCUCAGCUUGGUGUUGGGCCCCGCCGCCCCGGCGGGCCCUAAAGUCAGUGGCGGUGCCGUCCGGCUCCGAGCGUAGUAAUUCUUCUCGCUCUGGAGGUCCGGUCGUGUGCUCGCCAGCAACCCCCAAUUUUUUUCAGGUUGACCUCGGAUCAGGUAGGGAUACCCGCUGAACUUAAGCAUAUCAAUAAGCGGAGGA
rnacentral:misc_RNA from 1 species